GGAGGAUGGUGUAAGGAAUGCAAUUUGCAAAGCAGCAGCUGCCAAAAUGCUAAGUGGGGGUACUGAGGAUUCAGUCGUUCACUCACCCAACGGAUGCCGUUUGUCUUGAGGCGCUGACUGCGAGAAGAGGUAUGUAUCAUAUCUUUGCUUUACCAAAGCUUCUGCUUCUCACAUUCUUUGGCUUAUUAUUAACUCCGUGCGUUUUGUUUCCUGUUGGCUCCCCAGAUAGUGGUAGCUCCUUGUCUGGAAUGGAAUUUCCGUCUCGAUCACCGGGUAUGCGGCUUUGGCUUGUCUUGUCAAUUUGUAGCCGAGGAGGGACCGGGAGAUCGCUUGUUGCUGAUUCUGAGAUAAGUUCACCGCUUUAGUUUUUUCCCUCGUGCCAUUAUUUAUAAUGGUCACCUCUUAGCGUGUAGAGAGCAUGGUGAAGAACAAGACGGGGCGAAGACCACUUUGGAUCCAUUUGACAAAGGCUCGCAGUUAUUAAAUGACUAAGAGCUGGGAACAGCUUGACCCUUCGAAAACCACCCACUUUUAAAGGUAAAAUGAAAGAGAACAGGAAAUUGGAGGUGGGAGCGUAUCGUAUCCAGAGAAAAAAGAGGCUUGCACAUCGACACGACGGCUGGGGACGACAAUAUUAUUAAACAGGACGAAAGAAACAGGGGCAGUAGCAGUGGCACAGGGCAGCAGUGUUGUUGGGCCUCCUCCUCCUCUCUGCAAAGCGAGAGGGGCCCUUUCUUCUCGGCUGAAACGCAGGACAAGAGAGGGAGAAAGAAAAACAAAGGAAAGCAAGGGUCGGGAGGGAAGCAAACAAAAUCGAAGCCGGAAUAAAGGGAAAUAUGCUACGGUGAAUAGUUUUUGGGGACACAGGGGCGGAGAUAAGAAAGAGAAGAGAAAAAUGGAAGGAAAGUAAGGCACAGGGGCCAUGCAGGACUGCCGACUGAGAGGAAAAGCCUUGGGAAGGGAGAGCGCGAGAGAAGUAAGAAGGGAUGUGGGGCGCCUCUCCUUGUGCCAGGUAUGGGAUUUUAUACCUUUUGUUUCUUUGCAUUCAUUCGUUCGCUCGCUCAAUCUUAUUGCAAGGGGCUGGCUUCUUUCUUGUCAUAUUUUUUGCUUCUGGUACCAAGUAGUGCUUCCAUGCUGUCACAUUCAUGUGGGUGAGAGAACCAUGGACAGGCUUUGCAUCAGAGAGAGUAACAUGCAUGAUUUUGAUGUUCUUGUCAUUCACUGCUAAAGAUUGCAAGCUUUUUUUCUUCUCCUUGGCUACAACAACAGGACGCGCAUCGUAUCCUAUCAAUCACUUUGAAUCUGGAAAGGCAGGAAAUCUCCUCCUUCCAAGUUAUGUAGGUAUUCUAUUGUUCUCCCCUUUUUUUCUCUUUUCUCUUUUUUUUUCUCUCUUCUCUUUGUUUUCUAAAUGGUCCCUUUCUUUGCUUUGAUGUUUCAUCUGUUUCAGACAACACCACCGCCAUCACUUGGGCAAUCUUCGAUCGCCCUCUGUCGGCACAAAAGUUCUAAAGCUCCAUUUUCUAUGGUCUACUUACGUCAAGAACAAGAAUCAACCACUAGAUAGUCCCAUGAUAUCUUGUUUAUAUGAUCAUUCAAAUAUUUGUUUUAUAUGCAAGUUGAGCCAGAAAAGAGAGCCAUCGAUAUAGCAAAUAUUUGAUUGCAAACAAUAUGGUAGAUGAUACAAUACAAAGCUUCUCAAAGUCUUCUUGUUAAAACUUGUAUACUUACAUGAUCGAAAAGCCCACUACACUGACCAAAAAAAAAUCACCACCGAAUUAGUAGCUUUUCCUCUCCUUUUCUCGUUUUUUUUUCUUCUCUUUUUCCGUGUGUUCUUCCGAAACUUUGCCUGCUCUACGAGGACUCCAUCUUCUCCUUGCCAGUCCGCUCGUCUUUGAUCUCUUCCAGCUCGUCCUCGUCCGCCUUUUUGCCCGCCUGCUCCUUCCAGUAUCCCAGCAUCUUCUUGAGCCUCACGAUCUCCUUCGUGUUCGUGUUCUUGGUCGGGUCAUUGAUAAUUGACCGCACGCGCGUUGCGUAGCUGCGACAAGAGCAAAGAACAAAUCCAUCAAUCCACACACUGGAUCGCG
rnacentral:lncRNA from 1 species